rnacentral:rRNA from 1 species
UUCAAAUUGAGAGUUUGAUCCUGGCUCAGGAUGAACGCUGGCGGCGUGCCUAAUACAUGCA